AUUGAACGCUGGCGGCAGGCCUAACACAUGCAAGUCGAGCGAGCGGCGGACGGGUGAGUAAUGUAUGGGGACUGCCUGAUAGAGGGGGAUAACUACUGGAAACGGUGGCUAAUACCGCAUACUAUCGGAUAACCCAUAUGGGAUUAGCUAGUAGGUGGGGUAAAGGCUCACCUAGGCGACGAUCUCUAGCUGGUCUGAGAGGAUGAUCAGCCACACUGGGACGUAGACACGGCCCAGACUCCUACGGAGGCAGCAGUGGGGAAUCUUCGACAAUGGGCGAAAGUCUGACCGAGCAACGCCGCGUGAGUGAAGAAGGUUUUCGGAUCGUAAAACUCUUUUGGUAGGGAAGCGUUAUCUAACCAGAAAGCCACGGCUAACGACGUGCCAGCAGCCGCGGUAAUUC
rnacentral:rRNA from 1 species